AUGGACCUCCUCCUCAACCAUGCAGCGGCAACAGAGGAGCACCUUCCUCCGUCUGCUUCUACUCCAUCGAGCUCCGACCUCAGCGUUGCUGGCAUGGAACGCGUCAAGAUCCCGCGGGGAACUCAGAGAUGGGAGAGGAUGCCGGUAGGAAGUAGGCAUGGUUUUCAAUUUCAGGUUCAGAAAAAAUUCAGCAGCAACCAAAAUCACCGAAGUUCAGAGAAUUUAGUGAUUUCAGUUGGCAUUUCGGCCAAAGGGCUGAAAUAUUCACUUGAAUAUUUGGAAUUUUCAAAAAAUAUUUGA
rnacentral:rRNA from 1 species